CACACACACACACACACACACACACAUAUUUUUAUGGCUUCUAAAAGUACAUCCUGUACGUAGAACUGUUACUGGAGAAUGAAUUGUCAUCUCUAUUCUAGUCAGGUUAAACUCUCAUCUGAUUGACAUGUAUACAGUAUAACACAACUCUGCUGAGCUCUCUUUGAUCAAUCCAGGUUCCCGGGGUGGAGGGGGGAGUGGGCAGGGCUUCUGAUGUGUCAGGCCAUCCUCCUUGUGCUGAUUGGCCUCUUGGUAUCCAUCAGCACCAAUCAGGGAGCUACAGAGCCCCUGUCAAAUGCCACUCAACCUUGGGAGACCCCUGAGGAAGAGAUGGAGGAAGAGUUCUGAGCUGCGACGCUACAGCCGGCUAUGUGAUGACUAUGCCAGCCUGGCACAAAACUGCUCUGCCACAGGAAGCCCUGGAAAAGGAGGCCAGUAGGGUUGGUGGGUUUAAUAACUACUUAUGGAUCGACCUGUCAGACAGAGAGAUAGAGGGGGACUGGAGAUGGGUGGACCACACAAAGCUCACAAAUGAGUUCUGAAACCAGUCGAGCUCGGCGCCUGAUAACAACCUCUCCGGUGGGAUUGAAGGUGAGGGCCCUGUGGUCCUGGAGAGCAACACUCAGACCUGGUCCUACGUGCCCUGUGACUUCACCUACCACCGCAUCUGUCAAAUGAAUGUCAUCCCCAUUACUUGCCCUUGAAUCAGCGGGUGAAAGACACCACUGACCAUGAAAUAAGCUUAGAGUGGCAGGAAUUCAAUAGAAGGCACAUUGCAGGGUUGCACUGUUGACAACGUGCAUUUCAAAUGCAAUUUUCCCAUGUUUUAGGAAAUCAAAUUCAGUGUAAACGCAGAGGUCAUAAAGUGUAAAUUCCCUUUUAAAGUCAAACGCAAUGUGCAUCUCUACAGCGUGCAGUGGAUUGAAUCCCAGUCACAGUGUGUGUAACGAGCCAAAACAAAUGAAGAAGUGACAGUGGGUAUCUAUUUGUGUUGGUGUCUGUCCACCCACCACUGAAGGUAUUUCAACAAAGCUGCCAAUCAGUCACACCUCAGUCGUUGCUUGUUUUUCAUUCUUGUUCAAUUCAAGACUUGAAAUACAAGCUAACACUUUAUUUCACAGUCCUAUAACACAACAACAAUAACCCCUGUGUUUUCUCUGUUACUAUUUCAAACAAUUCAGCAAAACGUUGUAGACUGCUGCAACGACCCUGAUCACUCAGCGGUCUGCUCGCACCACCUGAAACCCGGGAGAAACUAUACUAUUAAGAUUCUAUUACAUUCUCUUCAUUAAAACAUUGGGUCAAAAACGGACUCUAAAACAAAGCGCUAUGCAAUGUCCACUGAGUAUACCAAACGUUAGGAACACCUUCCGAAUAUUGAGUUGCAACCCCUCAGAACAGCCUCAAC